GCCUACGGGACGCAGCAGUAGGGAAUCUUCCACAAUGGGCGAAAGCCUGAUGCAGCGACGCCGCGUGAGUGAAGAAGUAUCUCGGUAUGUAAAGCUCUAUCAGCAGGAAAGAUAAUGACGGUACCUGACUAAGAAGCCCCGGCUAACUACGUGCCAGCAGCCGCGGUAAUACGUAGGGGGCAAGCGUUAUCCGGAUUUACUGGGUGUAUAGGGAGCGUAGACGGCAGCGCAAGUCUGGAGUGAAAUG
rnacentral:rRNA from 1 species